GUAACUGAAAUCAGUUAGCUUCUGUUGUGCUCCACAAACUGGAAGGAUGGCAUCCAAGUCACCACCGCCGUCGCCGUCUUUGCUCCGCCGCAUCGUCGAUCUAGACACCGCCAUCUCCCUCCGUCUCUACACACUGACUCGCCCAAUCCUCCCUUAUUACUUUCUCAAAACCCUAGAAAUCUCCGGCGAUGGUUUCCUCUUCUUCCCUUUAAUCCUCUCACUACUCCUCUACCCGCUCACUUUCUCCACCACCACCGAAACUACUAACAACAUUUUCCUAAUCAACCUCCUCCUCGGCGGAAUAGUCGACCUAAUCGUAAUCGGAUCCCUCAAACACCUUAUUCGGAGGCCCCGACCCGUUUACAACAAAAACAUGUUCCUCUCUUUUUCCGUUGACCAUUGGUCCUUCCCUAGCGGACAUUCAUCUAGGGUUUCAUUUAUAGCCACUCUCUUUUACCUUUACUCCGAUUUCGUUAAGGAUAUAUUGAUUCAGCUUAAAUAUGAUCUAUUUGUGGAUUAUUUAAUGCUUAUUGUGAUUGGAUGGGCCGCAACGACAUCGUUGUCUAGGAUACUUCUUGGCCGUCAUUUCAUGUUCGAUGUUGUUGCUGGUGUAUUUUUGGGUGUUCUUGAAGGGAUGUUUGUGUUUUGGAUUUUCAAUUAUGUGACUCUGACCUCAUUCUUGAAAUGAUAAAGUUGUAAGCUUUAAUCCUUUUUGGUUUGUGAUUGUUAAUGUUGACGUAAAAUUUAUAUGAAUGUUAGAAAUUUUGUCUCAAUUUGUAUCUCUCUUAAUGCUUUACUGUGUUAAAAGGCAAAUUAUUGAGUAUUAGAAUGACACUGUGCAGCAAUGGAGUUAGGAAUUUAUACGAGGGGAUUCAAAAAAAGAAUAGAAUGUCACAUUUGGCAUUUGAACCUGUGAUAGCAAUUUUUGAACCUUCUUUGCCACUUCAGUGUACUUUUACGCAUAUCAAGGGGAUUCAACGGCUUAUAUGUAACAGAAAAGUUUGGUUUUUUCCCUAUUCACACAGUGUAAUUUUUCAACAAAUUGAAUUCCCUUCACUCCACUUACCUCCUCCACUGAUACUGUGGAUUCAUAUAGCGAACCCAACUUGGUCUUGGGAGAUUUUUGUUUUUAUCUCUCAAUAUGCUUGUGAAUUCUCCCAAGUCUCAACUGAAUUUGCAGAUCCUGUGAUGAGAAGGAAAGGUGUAAAUAUUAUGUUUUUCCUACUUAUCAAAAAGAAAAUAUUACUACUAUUGAGUUUUUCCUUGAAUUCAGAAUAUUCUUUAGCUCAAACACUUGAUCUUAUGUAGGCCUCAAAGUUUUCUAACAGGAUCAACUGUUCAUGUUCAUUGAAAUUUGACUCCGGGAGUAAUGAUAUCUGACCUUUAUGUAGACUGAAAUAGUUUUCGACCAGCAAUUGGCAUCAGUAGGAACCUUAAACACAAUAACCUUUAUAUAGACUGAGACCACUUCUGGUUGGCAAUUAUCUAUGGACUUAAGCUCAUGAUGCUACAUGAAUGUCUAUUCCCUUGUAUGGAUAUGUCAAAUCUUCUUGAUUCUUGGAGAUGUUUGGUUAUUGCAUAAUCAACUCAGGGAGAAAUUGUGCUAUUUAUGAACUGAGAACUCUUCUAGAAUGCUCACCAUUACAAGGUUUAUUCCGAAACUGCAAACUGUUUUUGUUUUUAAUUGAAACUAUUACACCACUCAUAAAAUAUUGCUUCAGAAAAUUCUAUUAACUCAGAUUUAGCUGCAUAAAAUUCCAUUUGCAUGACAUAGAGCACCCUUGAGCUCCAUAUCUACAUUGUUGGUUGACUAGUGACAUUAAGUUAAAUACAUCUUGGAGUUUGCAUCUGUUUUAUUUGGUCCAAUUUUUGGCCUAUAUUAUUGACCCUUUCGUUGUGGUUGAAAAGCAUUACAGCGCCCUCCUUUUUCGUUCCCACGUUAAUGUUUUGUGCUUCAACAUUAAACCAUGUGAUGUUGUAUAUACUGUAAUGCUUCUUGGUCAUUCUAAAGCAACUCUCAGGCAAUUGUUGAUUUCUGGAGUUUCUCUGAGGCUAUUUUGAGAUUCAUGCAUCCUUCAUCAAGUGUGCAAGUGAAGUGGUUGCUGGAAUUUUUGCUGCUCCCUUUAGAUAUUCCGUUUUCUUCCCACUCUAGAGUUGCUAAUUACUCUGAAAAUCCCCAGUUAAUUUUUGAUUUUUUCUGUUUGGCACAUUUGACAUGAUCUGGAACUUUUAUCUUUUACAAUAGUAUAGAACAUUGUAGACAUAGAUGAACAGAAUUCUUCAUUUUCAUAGUUGAAGUGACAUCUAUGGCUGAAUCAUUAUGGGCUCUAUGGAGAACAAAAGGAUCUCAGUUAACUGUGUCCCUAGUUGUUGAAUCAAAUGAACACUGAAACUUCCUUUCAUCUAAUUGUCUUUCAGUGAAGUCUCAUAAUUGUUUUUGUCUGAUAUUUGUGUUCACAUGUUCAUGAUUGAUUUUUCUAUGUUUUUGCUGUAGCAGAUUUAUUAUUAUCACGUUGCUCUGCAGAACCAUAUGUGGUCCUGUCAUGUUUACUUUGAGUUCAACUCUCAUGAUAAGCUAGGAGCAUUACACUCUAGCUUUGUGGUAGCAAGCAUCUGUGCUUCUCUCUGGCUAGUAAUGCAUGGAAGUGAAGAACAACAAACCUCUGGGAGUCUCCUUCCUUCACCCAAUGCAAAAGAUACAUAUCAGAAAUGCACUUAAGACUUGUUUAAUUUUUAAAUCAGUCUUUUUUCCUUAGACAACAGCGGUGCUCGGGUCAGCUUUCAUGCACGUCGACUAUUCUAUCGGGUAUUUAUUACUACCCACCAUCACAGGUACAGGGUAACUCUGCCCACCAAGGCCUAGGUAGAUUAUUUUUCGAAUUAUAGGUAGAUUAUUUUUCGAAUUAUAGUCUUCUCAAGUUAUACGAUAUUAUGAACAUAAAAAUGAAUUUUACUUGGUGGCUUGAUGCAAUUUUAGAAAAUGAUCAAUGAUGCCAAAACCCUGCCUCCAGUGUCCUUUGGACAUGGAAUCUUGGCCUUGGUCAAGGUCAAAUUUUGUGGCUUAGUUUGAAAAUGACCUAACAUUGAGACAAGGCUGAACUCUAGGAAGAUUGAUAAUGGUUACUCAAUUUCAGACCUCUGCUUUUCUCUGUGUUUGUAAUGCAGGGUCUGCAUUAAAUAUACACUGUUAGGGCAACACGUGUGACAAAAUUGCUUGGCCUCAUUGAUCCUGUUAAAUUUGGUAUCUGUCCAUUAUAUUGCUUGAUGUGUAUUUUAGUCAUUCCUGAAACAGGGAUAAAGGAGGAUGGUACAUGCCCCAGAAAGCAAAAGGAAACUGCACUAAUAUUUGGCCAUAAGUUGAAAAAGAUAUAGCUGUCUCUCUGUGAAUUUCAUGAAUGAUAUUCUGGCAAUGUUUACAGUGGUGGUAAUAUAUUGAAUUGAAUAGGGCAAUAGUUAUGAUGAGGAGCAGGGGGGAUAGAAAUAGUGUGCAUAAGGUAGACUGACGUGGAUGAGAAGGAUGUGUCUGCAGUUGGAAAGAAAAAAAAGACAGAUCCACCACUUGAACCUCUGUCACACUUUUUAAAGUUUUUACCCCACAAAGCCAAUGUCACACGAGGGGCUUUUGCAGUUUGCCCCCCAAACCCACCCAAACCACCACCACCACCACAAAUCCCCUCAACCCCACGUUUGGUUUCUCUCUUCUUUUCUUUGUUGUGCGAAUCUACUUUUGGUUCCUGUUUUCUUUGUAAUGUGAGUCUACUUUUGUUUCCUAUUGCUUUCCCUGUUUGCUUCCCCUUCUCCCAACUGAAUUUGUAACACUGGUUAUGCCAAAAUUGUAAUGCAGGGUUGUUUAUGCGCUGAAGGAAUCAUAGUAUGGUGGUUAAUAAUGUAGAGUUAACUAUGCGACGGAUAGUAAUAUUGGCAAUGUUAUGCAAAUGAGGGAGAAGACAUAUUGCAAAUUUAA